rnacentral:rRNA from 1 species
UACGUAGGGGGCAAGCGUUGUCCGGAUUUAUUGGGCGUAAAGAGCGUGUAGGCGGUUUGGUAGGUCCGUUGUGAAAACUCGAGGCUCAACCUCGAGACGCCGAUGGAAACCAUCAGACUAGAGUCCGGAAGAGGAGAGUGGAAUUCCUGGUGUAGCGGUGAAAUGCGCAGAUAUCAGGAGGAACACCAAUAGCGAAGGCAGCUCGCUGGGACGUUACUGACACUAAGGCGCGAAAGCGUGGGGAGCAAACAGG